rfam:Crassostrea gigas strain 05x7-T-G4-1.051#20 contig16106, whole genome shotgun sequence.
GCUAAUUUAGCGUAGCGGUAACGCGUUGGGCUUCAAUUUGGAAGUUGAUUUUAGCGCCGUGAGUUCGAAUCCCGCUGUCGGCA